rnacentral:rRNA from 1 species
CCUACGGGGGGCUGCAGUGAGGAAUAUUGGUCAAUGGACGAGAGUCUGAACCAGCCAAGUAGCGUGAAGGAUGACUGCCCUAUGGGUUGUAAACUUCUUUUAUAUGGGAAUAAAAUGUUCCACGUGUGGGAUUUUGUAUGUACCAUAUGAAUAAGGAUCGGCUAACUCCGUGCCAGCAGCCGCGGUAAUACGGAGGAUCCGAGCGUUAUCCGGAUUUAUUGGGUUUAAAGGGAGCGUAGGUGGAUUGUUAAGUCAGUUGUGAAAGUUUGCGGCUCAACCGUAAAAUUGCAGUUGAAACUGGCAGUCUUGAGUACAGUAGAGGUGGGCGGAAUUCGUGGGGUAGCGGUGAAAUGCUGAGAUAUCACGAAGAACUCCGAUUGAGAAGGAAGUUCACUGGACUGCAAAUGACACUGGGGCUCGAAAGUGUGGGUAUCAAACAGGAUUAGAUCCCCCAGUAGUC